GACGAACGCUGGCGGCGUGCCUAAUACAUGCAAGUCGAGCGAAGUUUUUCUGGUGCUUGCACCGGAAAAACUUAGCGGCGAACGGGUGAGUAACACGUAAAGAACCUGCCUCAUAGACUGGGACCACUAUUGGAAAGGAUAGCUAAUACCGGAUAAUAGCAUUAACUGCAUGGUUGAUGUUUAAAAGUUGGUUUUGCUAACACUUUGAGAUGGCUUUGCGGUGCAUUAGCUAGUUGGUGGGGUAAAGGCCUACCAAGGCAACGAUGCAUAGCCGACCUGAGAGGGUGAUCGGCCACACUGGAACUGAGACACGGCCCAGACUCCUACGGGAGGCAGCAGUAGGGAAUCUUCCGCAAUGGGCGAAAGCCUGACGGAGCAACGCCGCGUGAGUGAAGAAGGAUUUCGGUUCGUAAAGCUCUGUUGUUAGGGAAGAAUGAUUGUGUAGUAACUAUACACAGUAGAGACGGUACCUAACCAGAAAGCCACGGCUAACUACGUG
rnacentral:rRNA from 1 species